GUCUGGAAACCCCCAAGUGUCCACCGCUGCCACCCCAGGAGGUCCUGUGUUCCCAGGGGAAGGUUCAUCUGCACACAAGAGCGAUGCUGGCGAAGGCCAGUCUGGUCUGUCAGAGGAGGAGAAAGGAGGCGUCACUGACUGAGACUAUUGAUUAAUAAGACAAGAACCUCACUGGUGUCAUCAGAAAACUGAACUGAUCUGGGCACGCCACACAAAUAUACAGUCAGAAGGGAUGACAUUCUCAAGGACAGAGUGAGCAAGGAGACCAAAGGGAGGUCUGUUCAGCUUAACAGCAAGAGCUUACCCUCCCUCUCCAGCCUGCUCCAUUCACUUCAAGGUGACCAGGUGCUCAAGCCCCACAGCAGAUCCUUCAUGAAGACACCAUGCAAGUUCUCCCUUCUGAUGUGACUCCAGCUCUUCACCAUCAUCACUGUCUCCUGACUCUAAUCUGAAACACCAUCAUCCCCGCCCACAACAUGCCACAGCCUGCCGGCAAGAAGGCUCCUUGCUUCCAUCCUUGCCCCUGGGCAUAGUCUUCACAGAGCACAAGGACGUUCCUUCAGCAAUGGCUCCUGACCUUCGCCUGACUGCUGACUCUGAUGCCGGGUGCUCCUGCCUCAAGGCCUCUGCCAGAAAUGCUCCCUAUCAGUCACCCUGGUGCUUACUCUCGUUAGAUUUAGGGGGCCCCAGCCUUCACCAGUAGACUCCCUUGUCCACUCUUUGAAAAUGCAAAGCUCCAACACAGGCAGUUCUAGAGUCUCAUUAAGCCUUCCUUCUCUCUACAUCAAGUGUUGCUUGUUUACUGAUUUGGGUCAGCAUCUCCCUUCAAUUAGAAUGUACGUUGCCUGAAGGCAAGGACUUCAAUCUGCUUUGGUCACUGCUUACCCCUCAUCCCCACCUCCAUUCCAGUCUGGCAUCUACAGCAGGUGUUUCGGGAAACCCUGGUGGAUGAACGGGAAGGAAGCAGGCUCUCUGUAUGAACAGCCAGAGCUGGUGAUGGGCCCCAGACCAUUACUGACUUCUGGAUGCCUUUUUAAUACCUUUAUACCUCUGGGUAAAGCAUCCAGCCCAGGUUCAGAGGAAUGCUGCCUUGCAUGCUGACCAGAAGAACCAGAAGGCUCUGCUCUGGAGAGGGCAGCGGCAUAAGCAGGGACAGCUUUGAAGGUACAGUCAGGAAAAGCAAGGCCUCUGGGUGAGCCAAGAAGAAACGACCAGAAGGUGGAGAAUGGGACACCCAGGAUUCUGCUAUUCAAGGCUGAAGGAGCAGCUAGGGCUCUGAUCCCUUCAGUUGGUGAACAGGUGUGAGACAGGCCAUAAGGAAUGCAGAGAAUCUCACAUACUCAGCUCUGAAACUUUGAAAUUCCUUAGCACAGCAGCUGGGAACAACCUCUGUGUGUACAUUUAAGGCAUCUGACAACCACAGAAGGAGAACAACAUCAGCCAGUUCUCUCUCAUACAAUGUCUGAGACAACCCUCUCUCUGCAUGGAUGGAAAAACCCAGGCCCAGAGCAAAGCAGCUCAUCCCCACGUGGUGCAAGGGUAUGUAUGGUCCUAACUUCAGAUGACAGACACACCAUUCACCACUUAGCUCUGCAGUGCAAGGAGGGAGCGCUAGGGCUCCAAACAACACAGCACCCUAACCUGAAGGAGCUCCUUAAGGCUAGAGCACAAAUCAACUAUUAUAGUGCCAUGUGACAGGUUCAGUAACUUGGUAGGUAUGGGACACUUGGGAGCAGAGGACAUCUGCCUAAUGCUUCCCACUGAAGAAACACAAUUGAAAAUCCUAAAUCCUGGUAGCCAUGUAGAGAGGAAGAAAGAACACUCUAAGCCAGGGGACCAAAUGUAUAAAGGCCACUGGAUGGAGUGUCAUGUGCAUGUGGGGGAAGGGACCAGCUGUGGGAAAAGUGAUCAACCACGGCCACUAGUGACUUUAGAGCUGGCCGCAGAGACAGGAUCACACUGAGGUUUAAUGAUGUGAUCUCAGCAGCUACAUUCCUUCUACAGACUAACCCUAGGAACAUGUCUCUUUCCUGACGAAUUUGUUUUUUCCCCUUACCAAAUGCUCCCUCUGUCUUGGCUAUUAGGAAGCUGAAGGAUGAAUUCAUGAUACCCAAAGGAAGCAGCUUCCUUUUUGCUUUAUUGCUGGUCCCAACAGAAAGCAAUGGAUGCAUGUGGUAAAAAUGAAACUACACAAGGCAUAAAUGUACUUAAUAUUUAUGAGUGUCUCUACUAAUAUUUUUCUUUUCCCAUUCUCUUCCCACUAUCUUGCCCUACCAAGGGAAAAAAAAAAACUACAAAGUACCUUGUGCGCAUUCUCAAGAAAAUUUAUAUUAUACACAUAUAUAUCCCCAAACAUAACUGUGCUUAUCAGCACAGACUUCCUUUUUUAAAUGGCUAUCAAGAAUGCCACUGAAUUUAACGAGUGAGCCAUUCCUGUGUAUUUUUGGUAGCUUCCAGUUUGAGAUUCCCGCCCCCCAUUAUUAAGGGUAAUGAUACUCACAUGUUCUGGCACAUUUUUCCAUAUAGUAUAUUCUUAAUAAUGGGAUAUGUGACUCAUGAAAAUCACAUAUAAAAUGCUAAACGUCAUUUGGGCCAGAGA